rnacentral:rRNA from 1 species
GACGAACGCUGGCGGCGUGCCUAAUACAUGCAAGUAGAACGCUGAAGGAGGAGCUUGCUUCUCCGGAUGAGUUGCGAACGGGUGAGUAACGCGUAGGUACCUGCCUGGUAGCGGGGGAUAACUAUUGGAAACGAUAGCUAAUACCGCAUAACAGUAGAUAUUGCAUGAUAUCUGCUUAAAAGGUGCAAUUGCAUCACUACCAGAUGGACCUGCGUUGUAUUAGCUAGUUGGUGGGGUAAAGGCCUACCAAGGCGACGAUCAGUAGCGGGUCUGAGAGGAUGAUCCGCCACACUGGGACUGAGACACGGCCCAGACUCCUACGGGAGGCAGCAGUGGGGAAUUUUGGACAAUGGGCGCAAGCCUGAUCCAGCCAUGCCGCGUGUCUGAAGAAGGCCUUCGGGUUGUAAAGGACUUUUGUCAGGGAAGAAAAGGCUGUUGCUAAUAUCGACAGUUGAUGACGGUACCUGAAGAAUAAGCACCGGCUAACUACGUGCCAGCAGCCGCGGUAAUACGUAGGGUGCGAGCGUUAAUCGGAAUUACUGGGCGUAACGCGAGCGCAGACGGUUACUUAAGCAGGAUGUGAAAUCCCCGGGCUCAACCUGGGAACUGCGUUCUGAACUGGGUGACUAGAGUGUGUCAGAGGGAGGUAGAUUCCACGUGUAGCAGUGAAAUGCGUAGAGAUGUGGAGAAUACCGAUGCGAAGGCAGCCUUCUUGGAUAACACUGACGUUCAUGCUCGAAGCGUGGUAGCAAACAGAUAGAUACCCUUGUAGUCCAAGGGCGAUUCCACGUGGAUAUCAUGCUUAUCGAUGCCGGCGACCUCGAGGGGUGCCCUGUAUCAUAGUAUUAGUUACAUAAAGAGUAUAAUACG